UUUUAUGGAGAGUUUGAUCCUGGCUCAGGACGAACGCUGGCGGCGUGCCUAAUACAUGCAAGUCGAGCGAACAGAGAAGGAGCUUGCUCCUUUGACGUUAGCGGCGGACGGGUGAGUAACACGUGGGCAACCUACCUUAUAGUUUGGGAUAACUCCGGGAAACCGGGGCUAAUACCGAAUAAU
rnacentral:rRNA from 1 species